GAGCGCAGGGCGCUGGGCCAGGGCCCGCCUCCAGAGGGCGGUGUGAGUCCUUGGCGCUGGAGCACCUGCGUUUCGGGGACCCGGGCAGGUGUAGGGGUCUGCGUUCGGCUCCAGGCCUCCUGCAGUUGGGAUCUCACUUUGCUGCCUAGCCUGGAGUGCAGUGGUGUAAACUCAGCUCACUGCAGCCUCAAACUCCUGGACUCAAGUGAUCCUCUCACUUCAGCCUCCUGAAUAGCUGGGACUACAGCUGUCUCUUAACUUCCUCAAAAGACAUCAGUCCUGGCUGCCCUCCAGAAGAGCCAUCCCAAGACAUUAUCUAGGCAUCAGUGUCUUCACCAGGGCAACACGGAACAUCUCCACUGAAUACCUGGUGGCUGCAGCGGCUGAUGUGAGAUGUGUGCCUGCUUUCCAUCAGAUUCCCAAAGCAGAGCCCCUGGAGGCUUUGGCCCAUGCCCCUGAGGCUCCCUUUCAUGAGGAAGAAAUUCUUUGGAAAGCCAACACCACUACUGGAGAGAAAGUAGGGGUUGUGUUAUAGAAGUACUGUCUUUAUUUUGGGAGGCUGAGGUGGUGGAUCAUGAGGUCAA
rnacentral:lncRNA from 13 species